CACGUAGGGCGCAAGCGUUGUCCGGAAUUAUUGGGCGUAAAGAGCUCGUAGGCGGUCUGUUGCGUCCGCUGUGAAAACUCGGGGCUUAACCCCCGAGCCUGCAGUGGAUACGGGCAGACUAGAGGUAGGUAGGGGAGAAUGGAAUUCCCCGGUGUAGCGGUGAAAUGCGCAGAUAUCGGGAGGAACACCGGUGGCGAAGGCGGUUUCUCUGGGCCGAUACUGACGCUGAGGAGCGAAAGCGUGGGGAGCGAACAGGAUAGAAACCCUAGAGUCC
rnacentral:rRNA from 1 species